GUGAGGAGGAAAAACAGGUGUGUGAGGAGGAAAAACAGGUGUGUAAGAGGAAAAAACAGGUGUGUAAGAGGAAAAAACAGGUGUGUAGGAGGUAAAACAGGUGUGUGAGGAGGAAAAACAGGUGUGUAAGAGGAAAAACAGGUGUGUAAGAGGAAAAACAGGUGUGUAAGAGGAAAAAGGGGCGUGGAGGAGGAAAAACAGGUGUGUAGGAGGUAAAACAGGUGUGUAGGAGGUAAAACAGGUGUGUAAGAGGAAAAACAGGUGAGAAGGAGGAAAUUAAACGUGAGAAAAACAAAACAAAAAAACAAAACAAAACAGGUGUGGAGGAGAAAAUAAAGUGUGUAUAUUUUACCUAU